GGUGGUGGUAGAAGCAAGACAAUGUUGUAUUGGAAUACAAUAGCUAUAUACAUUGGAAUUGAUUGUUAUUAUAACAUUGGAGGAUUGCGGUGCUCUUAUGGUACUAUAUUACAAGAAGAGAGGCUAAAUGGUGCUACAUUAAGGAUUGCUAUUUGGUUGCAUUACAACAUAUUGGUAUGGUGGACAUGAGUGCAUUGAUCUUCACAACAACUCAACAUUGGCACGAGUUAUUAUUGCUUUUUGCUACAUUGUAAUAUUAAUGCAAUACAAGUGGUAGAGUGGAUGGAUGGCAACAUAAGAAUAAAUAUAUAAAAGAAAUAUCUUUAGGACCAAAUUGAUGCAAUAAUUGAAAUUACAACAAGAUUUAGUAGAUGGUUUGAGAUAA
rnacentral:lncRNA from 1 species